AUACAUGGAUUGAAUGAGAUU
rnacentral:miRNA from 1 species